rnacentral:rRNA from 1 species
AUGUCGAUUUGGAGGUUGUGCCCUUGAGGCGUGGCUUCCGGAGCUAACGCGUUAAAUCGACCGCCUGGGGAGUACGGCCGCAAGGUUAAAACUCAAAUGAAUUGACGGGGGCCCGCACAAGCGGUGGAGCAUGUGGUUUAAUUCGAUGCAACGCGAAGAACCUUACCUGGUCUUGACAUCCACAGAACUUUCCAGAGAUGGAUUGGUGCCUUCGGGAACUGUGAGACAGGUGCUGCAUGGCUGUCGUCAGCUCGUGUUGUGAAAUGUUGGGUUAAGUCCCGCAACGAGCGCAACCCUUAUCCUUUGUUGCCAGCGGUUAGGCCGGGAACUCAAAGGAGACUGCCAGUGAUAAACUGGAGGAAGGUGGGGAUGACGUCAAGUCAUCAUGGCCCUUACGACCAGGGCUACACACGUGCUACAAUGGCGCAUACAAAGAGAAGCGACCUCGCGAGAGCAAGCGGACCUCAUAAAGUGCGUCGUAGUCCGGAUUGGAGUCUGCAACUCGACUCCAUGAAGUCGGAAUCGCUAGUAAUCGUAGAUCAGAAUGCUACGGUGAAUACGUUCCCGGGCCUUGUACACACCGCCCGUCACACCAUGGGAGUGGGUUGCAAAAGAAGUAGGUAGCUUAACCUUCGGGAGGGCGCUUACCACUUUGUGAUUCAUGACUGGGGUGAAGUCGUA